CCGAGUUACAGCUCUUUUAGAAUCUGUCUAGCAGCAUUUCCUGUUCUCACCACAAGACCAC
rnacentral:snRNA from 1 species